rnacentral:rRNA from 1 species
AGUGAACGCUGGCGGUAGGCCUAACACAUGCAAGUCGAACGGCAGCACAGUAAGAGCUUGCUCUUACGGGUGGCGAGUGGCGGACGGGUGAGGAAUACAUCGGAAUCCACUUUUUCGUGGGGGCUAACGUAGGGAAACUUACGCUAAUACCGCAUACGACCUACGGGUGAAAGCAGGGGAUCUACGGACCUUGCGCGAUUGAAUGAGCCGAUGUCGGAUUAGCUAGUUUGCGGGGUAAAGGCCCACCAAGGCGACGACCCGUAGCUCGUCUGAGAGGAUGAUCCGCCACACUGGGACUGAGGCUCGGUCCAGACUCCUACAGGAGGCAGCAGUGCCGAAUAUUGGACGAUGGAGGGAAGCCUGAUCCAGCCAUACCGCGUGAGUGAAGAAGGCCUUCGGAUUGUAAAGCCCUGUUGUUAGGAAAGAAGUGCAGCAGGUUAAUACGCCGCUAUUCUGACGGUACCCAAAGAAUAAGCACCGGCUAACUACGUG